AGUCAGUUGUCAGUCAGUUCUGAGAACACCGUGCCAGGCUCCUCCUCGCCCUACUGACUGCCUUUUAUCUCUGGCCUCAGCGUCGUGUUUGACUUCAGGGUAACAUCAGAAUUUAGAGCGCUGCGUCCGACUUCUGGGCGUCGUGUCCGACUUCAGCGGAUCGCGACUGACUUCAGAGCAUCAAAUCUGACGUGUGACCAGUGACGAACUUCAGAGAUGAAGUUGCUGAAUGAGACUCGCUGUGUGAUGCUACUUUUGAUAGCUACGGGGAUGCUGCUCUCAGCAUCUUUGUCUACCAGAAUCAACCAUACCUUCAGGCUCCUCUUCAAGGGUGGACAGAUGAUUAAUGGGAUUUACUCCUAUGUUGGCCCAAACUUCAUUAUUCAAUGUGCAGGUAGAUGCGGCCAGAAGGUUGGGUGUUGGGCCUUCACAUGGGACAGCGUUAGCCUGGAGUGUCACCUGUUAAGUUACCUAACUAGUCCUGUCACAUUGCAGUCAGCAAGCGUCAGCCUUCACACCUACUACGUGGCUGACGUCAACAAUGUCAUAAUGACAAUGACAUCAUAUGUGUCUACUUGGAACGAAGGUCAGGCAGCUUGCGAGGCCCUGGGAGGUCGCAUGGCGGUCCCCGCCGAUGUCACAUACGGGUCCCUCUUACAAUAUGUCUUCAACACGGUUGCAUACUAUGUCGGUAUGUGGCGGUACGAGAAUAACAUAAAUAUAUGGUACGAUGUUGAUAGCAAAGUGGUUUCUAAUUGGAUGGUUAUAUCGACCUGUUCGUACCAGUCAAUUGUUAUGUUGAACAGUUUGUACGAGUCAAUGGUUAUGUCGAACAGUUCGUACGAGUCAAUGGUUAUGUCGAACAGUUCGUACGAGUCAUUGGCUAUGUCGAAUAGUUCGUACGAGUCAUUGGCUAUGUCGAAUAGUUCGUACGAGUCAAUGGCUAUGUGGGACAGUUGGUUCCAGCCAAAUGGUACAUGUUGUUAUUACGUAAACGGUGUUAUGGUGCAGGUUGAUUGUUCAUAUCCGGUCUGGAUACCUGUACUUUGUGAGGUGUGAAUUCCCGGCGAGAACACAACGUAAGCACAACAUUUGUUUACGUUUUUGCAACGUUAGUAGCAUUUGUAAGGUGGUAACGACGUAACAAAUUAAACGUUGUAGUUAGGUUGUGUGUUUGUUGGGGAAGAAUCAUCACAGAAAUCAAUUAGGAUAAUGGAAUAUUUAGAACUUUGUCAGCAUCUCAAUAUUAUCUGAUUUGCCAGCGUACUGGCUCUCUCUCACACACUCACUCACUUGUGUCUGUAUAUGGUGUGUAUCCACAGUGUGGUGUGGUGUGGUCUACACCGUGUGGUAUGGUGUGCCACUUAAGAACUGUUCGAAGAUAUUAAGAUCUUUUCGAAGAUAUUAAGAACUUUUCGAAGAUAUUAAGAACUGUUCGAAUGUAGUAAGAACUGUUCGAAUAUUUUAAGAUUUGUUAAGCAGCAAUUAGAAUUUGUCGAACGUGAACAAGGAAUAAAUGUGCACUUACCUAAUUGUGCUAGCGGGGGUUGAGCUCUGGCUCGUUGGUCAGGUGUUAGAUUCUAAUGGAGAACACUUUUCAUAACACUAUUCAUGAGAUAGAAGCAAGUUAACCUUAAAUUGAAUAUUUAAAUUAAAUAAUUAAGACGAAUAGUUAAAUAAUUAAAUCAAAUAAUUAUAUUGAAUAAUUAAACAAUUAAGUUGAAUAAAUAAAUUAUAUAAUUAAAUUGAAUAAUUAAAAUAAAUAAAAAAUAAUAAAAUAUAUCUCAACAGCUUUCAAAACUUUAUUAUAAUUCCGUGUUAAAUUAGUGACUUAUUUUAUAUAAUGAAUACUUCCCAAGGAAAGAGAGAUGCGAGAGGGGGCGGGGACCCACUAUAGUUAUUUAUAUAGUCUUUGGUCCUAGAGUCGAAUUUAGCUUGUACUAUGGACAAGAUAUAUAUAUAUCCCUACUUCUAUAAUUAUUACCAGUGUACAGGGCUGAUAUCCAUAUAUUUUGUAAUUUAUAUCGCUAGUUAAUAAUUAUAUACAUAUUUACACAUAAUUAUUUAUAUUUACGAGGCCCUUGGUCCCAGGGGUGAGAUUAGCUUGUGCUCUGGACUGGAUUAGAUCUAUAUUCCUAAUUAUGUUUUAUUGUCACUUAAAGGGUUGAAAUGUAUAUAUAUUUUGGUACUUUAUUUUUUAUUGAGCAAGUGACAUAUGGGAUGGGGUUUAUGCCCCUGUAAUUAUCAGAUAUAUUUUUUUAUCUUGAUACGGGGCAUGUGUACAUAUGUGGGGUUUUGUUGACGUGGCUGACACAGGCUGACGCAGGAUGACGCAUACUGACGCAAGGUGAUA
rnacentral:misc_RNA from 1 species